GUUGAUUGUCGAUUUUGCCCUUCUAUGUUUUCCAAAAUUACCAAGCCCACCUGUUGAUCUGCUGUGCCGCCACCGAAUACUGGGCUUCUCGCAUCUUCGUUUAUUUGAUGCGCAGAAACAGGUUAGAGAUUGAUAGAGACAGAGACGUUAUUUGCUUCGCAGAGAGAGAGAUAGAGAUAGAGAGAGGUGUUGGUUUCCGGUUGUUUGCUUGAUCUGUGCAGAAAGGGUAGAUAAUUCUGGGGCUUUUCAGAAUUGAAGGAGGACGAACACAGUAUUAAGUUUGGGUUACCUCUGGAGAAGCUACAUAGGGUUUACAAACCUGAAGCCGAUCAAGGGCAGCGUAUAUGCUAGUAAGCUGGAGAGGAUGAGGACGAUGGUGAUAGGGUGUCUUUGGAACAAUUGAUACUCUGCUGGAUAUCUGAAUUGGACGAAGGUGAAGAAUAUCGGAACAAUGAAUGCAACAAUGUCAUGGUACGUCGGAGCUCUGUUUGUGAUGUGCAGAUUAUUGUUGUUGAUGCAGUAAAUGUUAACGUGACUGUAAUAUAGAUUCUUCAUCCGAAAGUAAAUCUUCAAAUGAGUUGCAUUUGUUAGUGGUGUAGAAGUAAUGAAGUAUAUAAUUAAUUAAGUUGUCAGCUGA